rnacentral:rRNA from 1 species
AAAAGAAACUAACCAGGAUUCCCUCAGUAGCGGCGAGCGAAGAGGGAAGAGCCCAGCGCCGAAUCCCCGCCCGCCCGUCGGGCGAGGGAAAUGUGGCGUACGGAAGACCGCUUGCCCGGCGUCGACAGGGGGCCCGAGUCCUUCUGAUCGAGGCUCAACCCGCGGACGGUGUGAGGCCGGUGGCGGCCCUCGUCGCGCCGGGGUCCGGUCUUCUCGGAGUCGGGUUGCUUGGGAAUGCAGCCCAAAGCGGGUGGUAAACUCCAUCUAAGGCUAAAUACUGGCA